ACAGAAAAAAAUGGACACGUGUAGUAAAUGGUGCGUUUAUCCUUAUCGGGACACGUUUAGCCGUGACGAGUCAGUGCUGGCAGCGAGCGGCGCGCGCGCUAGGCCUAAAUACGCGGCGCGUUGCGCCCCGCGCCAAAAAUUCGCAAACUUCCACGCGAAAAUACUUAAUAAGAUUCUUAUAGGCCUAUUUUGUAUUGCAUAUCAAAAUGACCGGAUUUUAAUAUAGUUUGCAAUUAAAGUUGAGUUUUGGACGGACAUUGGUCAAAAUAUAGUAUUUUUUGGUAAUUUGUGAAGUGCCUGUGAGGACCCGUAAUGACGUGAGCAAAGUGGCUUGCUGAUGGAUUUUAAUGGAUUUUACCAGAAAAUAUUGAAAAAAUAUGUUUGCGGACGGAAGACGCACACAUGCACACGCUACAGGAUUGCGCGUGUGUGAGUGCGCUGCAAGCGGAUACGGGGAAAACGAACCGGCUCAUGUUACGAGAGAUCAAGGAAAGGAAUUAUGAGGUAC